CAUCACCAUAUUUAUAUUACUACUUUCUCAAGUUUCAUCUUAUCCUCUGUGACGAAAGAGAGUUCCCAUCAGAGAUGGCAUGAAAGUUAUGGAUAUCAAGUUAUCCCAAAUAUUUGCAUACAAAAAGAAGAAAAAGGGGUUCCACACAGUCGUGUAUCAGACGUUGUAAGUUUAAUGCUAUUGUAUAUUCUCUAUAUAGUGUUAAUUUUCAAUUAUAGAAAAUGGUUUCUAAAUUACAUGAUCUGUUUUAUCAAGCAUUAUGCAGAAAUUGAUCCAUCAUUUAUCCAUGAACUUGGUCAUGAACUAAAUAAAUUCCUGCAUCCUUAG